rnacentral:tRNA from 1 species
GUCGUGAUCGUCUAAUGGCUAGGACUCCAUGUUGUGGCGGUGGCAACCCAGGUUCGAAUCCUAGUCACGGAA